rnacentral:rRNA from 1 species
UACGUAGGGUGCGAGCGUUAAUCGGAAUUACUGGGCGUAAAGCGUGCGCAGGCGGUUUUGUAAGCCAGAUGUGAAAGCCCCGGGCUUAACCUGGGAAUGGCAUUUGGGACUGCAAGGCUUGAGUGCGGCAGAGGAGACGUGGAAUUCCUGGUGUAGCAGUGAAAUGCGUAGAUAAUCAGGAGGAAUACCGAUGGCGAAGGCAGGUCUCUGGGCUGACACUGACGCUCAUGCA